UACGAGUGCCUCAAGCGUUAUCCGGGAUCAUUGGGCGUAAAGGAUGUGUAGGUGGCUCUGUUAGUCUCACGUUAAAUUUUGCGGCUUAACCGUAAACCUGCGUGGGAAACGGCAGAACUUGAGGGUGCAAGGGGUCUCUGGAACUCUAGGUGUAGCGGUGAAAUGCGUUGAUAUCUAGGGGAACACCAAAAGCGAAGGCAAGAGACUGGGGCAUUCCUGACACUGAAACAUGAAAGCGUGGGUAGCGAAUGGG
rnacentral:rRNA from 1 species